CCUACGGGUGGCAGCAGUGGGGAAUAUUGCACAAUGGGGGCAACCCUGAUGCAGCGACGCCGCGUGAGUGAUGAAGUAAUUCGUUAUGUAAAGCUCUAUCAGCAGGGAAGAAAAUGACGGUACCUGAGUAAGAAGCCCCGGAUAACUACGUGACAGCAGCCGCGGCAAUACGUAGGGGGCCAGCGUUAUCCGGAUUUACGGGGUGUAAAGGGAGCGUAGACGGCAGUGCAAGUCAGGAGUGAAAGGCUGGGGCUCAACCCCCGGACUGCUCUGGAAACUGUACGGCUUGAGUGCAGGAGAGGUAAGUGGAAUUCCUAGUGUAGCGGUGAAAUGCGUAGAUAUUAGGAGGAACACCAGUGGCGAAGGCGGCUUACUGGACUGUAACUGACGUUGAGGCUCGAAAGCGUGGGGAGCAAACAGGAUUAGAUACCCCAGUAGUC
rnacentral:rRNA from 1 species